UGAUUUGUUUUAGAUAUAUAGGCAUACUAAUUUAGUCUCAGGCAAACGUUGCGCUAUUGUAACGAGGUAGACAGGGCUCCAUGUCAGAGAGGAAGGUGCAGGCUUUGACAUAAUUUACAUUAGCCAACAGGUAGCCUGUUUAGCAGCACAGCUUCACCGUAAUCAGAAUCAGCUUCAUUGACAGGCUUACGUACUGUAAACAAUCAAGAAAUUUGACUCCGGUCAUUCUCAUCCUUCGCCUGAUAAGCUUUUUUUGGAGCCAAGCAGAUGCCUACGCGACAACGACGUGUGUCCGGGAGGAGACGCAUCCCGGAACCAACCGCUCCUCGUUUGGCACGCAGCCGCAGAAGCAACAGACGCGGCAGCUACAGGAGUGACCCUAGCCAUCCCCAAUCAUCUUUCACUGUCACAUCAUAUGAAUGCCCUCUUCAAACAGCGACGGGCAAGUGUGCUGUUGGCCGCAGAGGAAAGGUUGUCUUUACAAAAAAUACAAAGGCACCAAAAUGGAAAGUAUGGCAACUCAAGAAGAAAGGUGAAGCCCAGGGCACAUUUUGUCUGGUGUUUGUAUGGAAUGAAGAUCAUGUCCUUAUUCAGAAUGGAGAUGAGGUGAAGCUCCAGCCUGUCCCUAAUCUCCAGGAAAAAAGAAAUGAAUACCUGAAUUCUACCCAAUGUCAUUUUCAGUGGUGCAAUCUGAGUGGAAAUAAGGCGAGUUUGCAGUCUGCGGCCGCGACGGAUUUAUACUUGGCAAUCGACAUCGACAAACGUACACUGAUUGCCAGCAGAGAUGCAUUGAAGGCAGAAUCUUUUGCGUUAAUAGAUACUACUUAGAUUAUAUCAACAUAAUUGUGUAAAACACAUUUGGUUUGUUUCUUGGUUUCAGGGCAUAUCUGUGUUAUAUUUAAAGGGCUGAUAGAAUGUAAAAAUUUUGGUAUGUUAAAUACAGGGAACUUCAAAAUCCCAUUGUCACCUCCUUCCUAAGGAAAUCUUACAACCUGAAACUGCGGCUGUAAAACGGGCCAAUCUCAACGAAGCUCAGAAUUCAGUUGUUUGACCAUACAAUAAGGAAACAAAUCCAGACUCUGGUCUACAGUAUUUCCUAAGAACUCAGUGUGAUUCAGCAUUAAUGGUAGGAACAUAUUGCAUUGGAUGGGUGCGUGGCUGUCAUGCAGGCUUCCCAGGUUCACACCCCGCGACGUGCAUCAUUCACCUAAGUAGAUCUUGAAAUAAGUGGUGUUCGUCAGUUUAUUGGCAGAUUGCAUCAUUCCGAGGGCUGAGAACCAUAGGGGCGUAAGUGACAUUUCACCAACUUUACAGGAGAGCCAAAACAAAACUAACUGCUUCUAUAUGUUCACAGUUAAAGACCUUUGGUUUUUGUUCAAUAACUAUAUAUUUAUAAACAUUUUACUUCUAUAAUUUUGUCAGCUGAGAGAGCUCAUCAAGAGCUUUCAGGUGAUAUAUAUAUAUAACUCAAUGUUGACCAAAAUGUCACUUACGCCCCUUUGGUUCUCAGCCCUCAAUUCAUUAGUUGCAUACCGCCACCUACUGCAUUGCAGAGUGAAUAUAGUCAUUGGCUGCAAGGUAAUUAAUUAUUCAUGAUGUCCUGAAGACCGCAAGGGGGCGCUAAAUCUGCCAAAAUGAACUGUUUUAUUCUCCAGCCUAUUAUAGUGUUUUAACAAAGCUUGUGAAAUAACAUCUGAGCAUUUCAUGGACUUGCCUAAGUUACAAGGUAAAAUGCUCAGUUGCAACCAUUCUAUCACCCUUUUAAAUCCUAGCAGUCCAAAAGAGCAUACUUAUUCUUAUAUAUAAUAUAAUAAUAAUAAUAAUAAUGAUAAUAAUAAUAUAUUUCACCUUUAUGCAAUUUGUGACUUCUGAGUAUUAUGAUGGCCAUUAGCUUCUAUUAGACAUUCCUGUCUGUAUUCAGCUGUUGCAUUGUAUUCUUCUAGGCUUGGUAAGAGUGCAUUUAGAGAGGGCAUGUCUCAAGUAAAUGAAUAAUGUCUGCGAUGAAUCAUGCUCUCUGAGGUUUCGGUAAGCGAGGUAGUAAUUAAUAUCAAUAUGAAACCUUUCAAUUAAAUGUAAUUGGAUACAAAUAUUUAGUGAAAUGUUGUAUGCCAGAGUGGACACACAGAAGCAAAGUUACAUUUGUAUCAAAUUGAAUUUGUGUAGUAACCUGCUUGUAUUCUAUUUAUAUUUAUAAUAUAUCUAUAAUAUACUAAUGUUAUUGCUACUACUACACUGCACAUGUUACUCAUACAUUGUUCAAACUGCAUGCUGCUCUUAUAAGGUCACUGCUAAUGAACUGCACAUAUUUAUAUUUAAUUUAUAUUACUGUAACCACUACUGUCAGCACUAUAUGUCUCAUGCUGUUUAUAUUGCACCACCUGUCUAUACUAUAGUAUAGUGUAUAUCACACUGCACUUUUCUACAUUUUUUUUUUUCAUUUUUAGUCGGACGCACAUUUCAUUUUGUUGUCUCUGUACUUGUACCCUGCACAAUGACAAUAAAGUUUAAUCUGAUCUCA